rnacentral:pre_miRNA from 8 species
GCGCGCUCUGUGCGGGGCCUGUCGGUACUGUAGCAGCACAGAAUGGUUUGUGAGUUAUAACGGGGGUGCAGGCCGUACUGUGCUGCGGCAACAACGACAGGACAGACGCGCACUUCCCAU